ACGGAAGGCAGCAGUGGGGAAUAUUGCACAAUGGGGGAAACCCUGAUGCAGCGACGCCGCGUGAGUGAUGAAGUAUUUCGGUAUGUAAAGCUCUAUCAGCAAGGAAGAUAAUGACGGUACUUGACUAAGAAGCCCCGGCUAACUACGUGCCAGCAGCCGCGGUAAUACGUAGGGGGCAAGCGUUAUCCGGAUUUACUGGGUGUAAAGGGAGCGUAGACGGAAAGGCAAGUCUGAUGUGAAAGGCAGGGGCUCAACUCCUGGACUGCAUUGGAAACUGUUUUUCUUGAGUACCGGAGGGGUAAGCGGAAUUCCUAGUGUGGCGGUGAAAUGCGUAGAUAUUAGGAGGAACACCGGUGGCGAAGGCGGCUUACUGGACGGCAACUGACGUUGAGGCUCGAAAGCGUGGGGAGCAAACAGGAUUAGAUACCCUGGUA
rnacentral:rRNA from 1 species